UACAGAGGUCCCGAGCGUUGUUCGGAUUCAUUGGGCGUAAAGGGUGCGUAGGCGGCUUCCUAAGUUUGAUGUGAAAUCCUGGGGCUCAACCCUGGAACUGCAUUGAAUACUGGGAGGCUAGAGUACUGGAGAGGAAACUGGAAUUUACGGUGUAGCAGUGAAAUGCGUAGAGAUCGUAAGGAAGACCAGUGGCGAAGGCGAGUUUCUGGACCGUAACUGACGCUGAGACACGAAAGCGUGGGUAGCAAACAGG
rnacentral:rRNA from 1 species